rnacentral:lncRNA from 13 species
GCUUUGCUUGGAUGAGCUGGACCACAGUGCCAGCGCCGGGGCUGACUGUUGACUGUCUGGUUGCCACAGUUGCCAUGUCCCAAGGACAUGGUUUCUUUCUUCUUUUUUUUUUUCUUCCAGACAGAGUCUCUCUUGCUCAGGCUGGAGUGCAAUGAUGUGAUCUUUGCUCACCACAACCUCCGCCUCCUGUGUUCAAGCGAUUCUCUUGCCUCAACCUCCAGAGUAGCUGGGAUUACAGUACCCUGA